UGUGAUGCCCUUAGAUGUUCUG
rnacentral:siRNA from 1 species